UACGUAGGUGGCAAGCGUUGUCCGGAUUUACUGGGCGUAAAGGGCGUGCAGGCGGUCUGUUAAGUGCAGGGUGAAAGCUCCCGGCUCAACUGGGAGAGGUCCUUGCAUACUGGCGGACUUGAGGGGGGUAGAGGAAAGUGGAAUUCCCGGUGUAGUGGUGAUAUGCGUAGAGAUCCGGAGGAACACCGAAGGCGAAGGCAGUGUCCUGGCGAGUGACUGACGCUGAGGUGCGAAGGCCAGGGGAGCAAACGGG
rnacentral:rRNA from 1 species